rnacentral:lncRNA from 1 species
UGGAGGGGUGGCAAUACCGUACCACUGGUAAGGACAGUUGUGAGAACCCUAUACUGGCAAGUACUCAAAUAAGAAUGGUGGGAACGCUAAACUGACGGGUUAAGACACAUCAUCAACCUUAAUCUGAUGGAUCAAGAUGUCUCAACCUACGCUGGCUACGUAGUUCUGGAACACAAGGAUGACUAAUAAGAAUCAUACCCUGAACUGGCGGGUGAGUUCCCAUACUUGGGUUCACUCGGUG